rnacentral:rRNA from 1 species
UCGGCUUAGAGUUUGAUCAUGGCUCAGAUUGAACGCUGGCGGCAGGCUUAACACAUGCAAGUCGAACGGUAAAGUAGCUUGCUACUUACGAGUGGCGGACGGGUGAGUAACGUAUGGGAAUUUACCGAAUGGAGGGGGACAACAGUUGGAAACGGCUGCUAAUACCGCAUAACGUCGAGAGACCAAAGGGUUUCGACUUGCCAUUUGAUGAGCCCAUAUGAGAUUAGCUAGUUGGUGUGGUAAUAGCUCACCAAGGCGACGAUCUCUAGCUGGUUUGAGAGGAUGACCAGCCACACUGGGACUGAGACACGGCCCAGACUCCUACGGGAGGCAGCAGUGGGGAAUAUUGCACAAUGGGGGGAACCCUGAUGCAGCCAUGCCGCGUGUAUGAAGAAGGCCUUAGGGUUGUAAAGUACUUUCGUGGAGGAGGAAGGGUUUACGUAAUCGUGGACAUUGACGUUACUCCAAGAAGAAGCACCGGCUAACUCCGUGCCAGCAGCCGCGGUAAUACGGAGGGUGCGAGCGUUAAUCGAAUGACUGGGCGUAAAGGGCAUGUAGGCGGAUGAUUAAGUUAGAUGUGAAAUCCCUGGGCUUAACCUA